AGCCUUGCUCCGUGGCAUUACCUUAGCCAAGGAGGUUCAUCUCAGGCAUGAUUAUUGCUAAUUGAAAGACCAAUCAUACUUGGAUUUAUACUGUGGAUGAAACACUGAGAGUUCAUGGCACUAGGAAAGAUA
rnacentral:snRNA from 1 species